CCUACGGGAGGCAGCAGUAAGGAAUAUUGGUCAAUGGAGGCAACUCUGAACCAGCCAUGCCGCGUGGAGGAUGAAGGCCCUCUGGGUUGUAAACUUCUUUUACAGGGGACGAAACCCCGCUAUUCUUAGCGGAUUGACGGUACCCUGGGAAUAAGCACCGGCUAACUCCGUGCCAGCAGCCGCGGUAAUACGGAGGGUGCAAGCGUUAUCCGGAUUCACUGGGUUUAAAGGGUGCGUAGGCGGGUGUGUAAGUCAGUGGUGAAAUCUCCAAGCUUAACUUGGAAACUGCCGUUGAUACUAUACAUCUUGAAUACUCGGGAGGUGAGCGGAAUAUGUCAUGUAGCGGUGAAAUGCUUAGAUAUGACAUAGAACACCAAUUGCGAAGGCAGCUCGCUACAGAGUUAUUGACGCUGAGGCACGAAAGCGUGGGGAUCAAACAG
rnacentral:rRNA from 1 species